GACGAACGCUGGCGGCGUGCUUAACACAUGCAAGUCGAACGGACAGGCCCUGCUUUUGCGGGGUGCUCGAGUGGCGAACGGGUGAGUAACACGUGAGUAACCUGCCCUUGACUUUGGGAUAACUUCAGGAAACUCGGGCUCAUACCGGAUAGGAGCUCCUGCUGCAUGGUGGGGGCUGGAAAGUUUCGGCGGUUGGGGAUGGACUCGCGGCUUAUCAGCUUGUUGGUGGGGUAGUGGCUUACCAAGGUUUUGACGGGUAGCCGGCCUGGGAGGGUGACCGGCCACAUUGGGACUGAGAUACGGCCCAGACUCCUACGGGAGGCAGCAGUGGGGAAUAUUGCACAAUGGGCGGAAGCCUGAUGCAGCAACGCCGCGUGCGGGAUGACGGCCUUCGGGUUGUAAACCGCUUUCGCCUGUGACGAAGCGUGAGUGACGGUAAUGGGUAAAGAAGCACCGGCUAACUACGUG
rnacentral:rRNA from 1 species